rnacentral:rRNA from 1 species
UGGGGAAUUUUGGACAAUGGGCGAAAGCCUGAUCCAGCAAUGCCGCGUGUGUGAAGAAGGCCUUCGGGUUGUAAAGCACUUUUGUCCGGAAAGAAAUGGCUCUGGUUAAUACCUGGGGUCGAUGACGGUACCGGAAGAAUAAGGACCGGCUAACUACGUGCCAGCAGCCGCGGUAAUACGUAGGGUCCAAGCGUUAAUCGGAAUUACUGGGCGUAAAGCGUGCGCAGGCGGUUGUGCAAGACCGAUGUGAAAUCGCCGAGCUUAACUUGGGAAUUGCAUUGGUGACUGCACGGCUAGAGUGUGUCAGAGGGGGGUAGAAUUCCACGUGUAGCAGUGAAAUGCGUAGAGAUGUGGAGGAAUACCGAUGGCGAAGGCAGCCCCCUGGGAUAACACUGACGCUCAUGCACGAAAGCGUGGGGAGCAAACAGG